rnacentral:rRNA from 1 species
CCUACGGGGCGCAGCAGUGGGGAAUAUUGCACAAUGGGCGAAAGCCUGAUGCAGCAACGCCGCGUGAGCGAUGAAGGCCUUCGGGUCGUAAAGCUCUGUCCUCAAGGAAGAUAAUGGCGGUACUUGAGGAGGAAGCCCCGGCUAACUACGUGCCAGCAGCCGCGGUAAUACGUAGGGGGCUAGCGUUAUCCGGAAUUACUGGGCGUAAAGGGGGCGUAGGUGGUUUCUUAAGUCAGAGGUGAAAGUCUACGGCUCAACCGUAGUAAGACUUUGAAACUGGGGGACUUUAGUGCAGGAUUGGCGAG